AACGUAGGACGCGAGCGUUAUCCGGAGUUACUGGGCGUAAAGCGCGGGCAGGCGGUCUGACAAGUCUGAUGUGAAAUCUCCGGGCUUAACCGGGAGAGGCCAUUGGAAACUUGACAGGCUGGAGGGCAGUAGAGGUAGGCGGAAUUCCGGGUGGAGUGGUGAAAUGCGUAGAGAUCCGGAGGAACACCAGAGGCAAAGGCGGCCUGCUGGGCAGUUACUGACACUGAGGCGCGGACAGCGUGGGGAGCAAACAGGG
rnacentral:rRNA from 1 species